rnacentral:lncRNA from 1 species
CCCCAAUCUUCUGCGUCACAAAACUUUCCACUCCGGAAACGCAGCCUCCCCGGCUGCGGCGCAGGGCCCCCGGACCCUGCGGAACCUGGGCUGAAGCGAAAAAGCCAGCGGAAGGAACCCGGGAAAAAACAAGAAACCCAUUCCAUCCUCCUUUCCAGGCCUUCGCCCGCCCGAGACCCGCCGUCUCCCGGAGUUCUCGGGGAUAACGGGCUCAGCUGCGAAGUUCUUCCUUGAGCAUCUGAAUUUGGUUGUGGUCAGAUGGUGGAUAAAGCUGGACUUAUCUGAAUCUUCUUUCGUCACAUGUCUGGAGUGUCUGGAGUGGCUGGAAAACAGCUUCCUCACAAGAUGAAGAAAAUGAGGCAGGGAGAGGAGCAGACUGAUUCUCAAUGCUGUGCUCCCCUCCUCAGGGAAGAGCUGGGGAACCCAUGUGGGGAUAGGAAAGAGUCCCCCUAUGUUAUUGGGGACAGAAUUGUGCCCAGACAAGAAAAUGAUGUUUCCCAGCCUCCCCUGCAGCUGAGUGGGGACAACCAUUGAGAUGCCGUUGCAGGGCUCCGCUUUGGAGCGGGCAUUGGAGGAAUUCUUUGACCACCAAGCAGCCUCCAUACCUCCCUCCUACAUAACAGAGCCACCGAGAGGCUGUUUGCAUUCUGCCUGCUUUCUCUUUUUCCGUUGCAGUAGUUUAUUAAUUAGUGUGCAAAAAAUAAAAAGGAGGUAAUAACCUUAUUUAUGUGCUAGU